UUCAUUUGAUGUUGGUUUACUUGUGUUUGGGUCAUCUGGCAGGAAAGAAACAACAAGGUCUUUAUGGCUGGUGGCAGCGUCUUUCGACUAUUUGGGCGUUGGUUAAGUGUGUUCUUUUUGUUUGUAUUAUGUAUUGAACUUUAAAGCUUCUUUUUAACA